rnacentral:rRNA from 1 species
GAUGAACGCUGGCGGCGUGCUUAACACAUGCAAGUCGAACGAAGCAUUUAGGACAGAUUACUUCGGUUUGAAGUUCUUUAUGACUGAGUGGCGGACGGGUGAGUAACGCGUGGGUAACCUGCCUUGUACUGGGGGAUAGCAGCUGGAAACGGCUGGUAAUACCGCAUAAGCGCACAAUGUUGCAUGACAUGGUGUGAAAAACUCCGGUGGUAUAAGAUGGACCCGCGUCUGAUUAGCUAGUUGGUGAGAUAACAGCCCACCAAGGCGACGAUCAGUAGCCGACCUGAGAGGGUGACCGGCCACAGUGGGACUGAGACACGGCCCAGACUCCUACGGGAGGCAGCAGUGGGGAAUAUUGCACAAUGGAGGAAACUCUGAUGCAGCGACGCCGCGUGAGUGAAGAAGUAAUUCGUUAUGUAAAGCUCUAUCAGCAGGGAAGAUAGUGACGGUACCUGACUAAGAAGCUCCGGCUAAAUACGUG